rnacentral:tRNA from 1 species
UCAGAAGGCUCUUUGUUAAAAGUUUUCUAAUUUCCAAAAUUAGUGUUUUUUAUAAACUACUUUCUG